UAUACAGUCCUUUGCUGAAUAUUAUACAAGGAAUAAAAUAAAAAGAAAUUUACAUGUUUAAUUCAAUUUACAUUAGAUAUUUACAAUUGAAAACAGGAGAAAAAAAAAAAAGUCAAAUAAAAAUGUUUCCAUAUAAAGAUGGAGCAAAAUACAUUUGCAUAGCAGAGUAAAUUAUUUGGGAAGUCAUAUUGUACAAACAAAUUACAUUAAAUACUGCUGAAAGUAGAACAAAACCAGUCAACGAUGUUGAAACUUUUAUACUGGUGAAGGAACAAUACAGCAAAACAUACCCCCAGGACUUGAUGACAGUUAGCAUUUUUAAGGCUAUUAUUUAA